rnacentral:piRNA from 1 species
UUCAAGGUCAUCCUCAAGCAUAGAGCGAGUUU